AGUGAAAUAGAACCUGAAACCGUGUGCUUACAAGUAGUCAGAGCCCGUUAAUGGGUGAUGGCGUGCCUUUUGUAGAAUGAACCGGCGAGUUACGAUUUGAUGCAAGGUUAAGCAGUAAAUGUGGAGCCGUAGCGAAAGCGAGUCUGAAUAGGGCGUUUAGUAUUUGGUCGUAGACCCGAAACCAGGUGAUCUACCCUUGGUCAGGUUGAAGUUCAGGUAACACUGAAUGGAGGACCGAACCGACUUACGUUGAAAAGUGAGCGGAUGAACUGAGGGUAGCGGAGAAAUUCCAAUCGAACCUGGAGAUAGCUGGUUCUCUCCGAAAUAGCUUUAGGGCUAGCCUCAAGUGAUGAUUAUUGGAGGUAGAGCACUGUUUGGACGAGGGGCCCCUCUCGGGUUACCGAAUUCAGACAAACUCCGAAUGCCAAUUAAUUUAACUUGGGAGUCAGAACAUGGGUGAUAAGGUCCGUGUUCGAAAGGGAAACAGCCCAGACCACCAGCUAAGGUCCCAAAAUAUAUGUUAAGUGGAAAAGGAUGUGGCGUUGCCCAGACAACUAGGAUGUUGGCUUAGAAGCAGCCAUCAUUUAAAGAGUGCGUAAUAGCUCACUAGUCGAGUGACACUGCGCCGAAAAUGUACCGGGGCUAAACAUAUUACCGAAGCUGUGGAUUGUCCUUUGGACAAUGGUAGGAGAGCGUUCUAAGG
rnacentral:rRNA from 1 species